CUUGGCCAUGCUCCAUCUUCUGUGGCGCUUGACACAUUUGAUAAGUUUAACAGCAAAAUAAUAAAUGGAAAUG